GCCAGGCGAGGUGGUGCAAGUCUGUAGUCCUAGCUACAUGGGAGGCUGAGACAGGAGGAUUGCUUGAGCCCAGGAAUUCUAGGUUGCAGUGAGCUAUGAUGGCAUCACUGUACUUCAGCCUGGAUGACAGAGCAAGACCCUGUCUCCA
ensembl:misc_RNA Metazoa_SRP Metazoan signal recognition particle RNA